UCAAAAACAUGUCUUUUUGAUAAUAAUUUAAAGUCUAAUCUGCCCACUGAUAAAAUAUUAAAGGGCUGCAGUAUAUUGACUGUACAAAGGUAGCAUAAUCAUUAGUCUUUUAAUUGAAGACUUGUAUGAAAGAUUUGAUGAAAUAUAAUCUGUCUCUAUAUUAAUAAUAGAAAUUAAUUUUUUAGUUAAAAAGCUAAAAUAAUAUUAAAAGACGAGAAGACCCUAUAAAGUUUUAUAAUUUAUUUAUUUAUUAUUAAUUAUAAAAAUAAGUAUAAUAAUUAAAUAAAUUAUUUUAUUGGGGUGAUAGAAAAAUUAAAUAAACUUUUUUUUUAAUUUAAACAUUAAUAAGUGAAAAAUUGAUCCAUUAAUAAUGAUUAAAAGAAAAAAUUACUUUAGGGAUAACAGCGUAAUAUUUUUUUUUAGUACAAAUAAAAAAAAAAGUUUGCGACCUCGAUGUUGGAUUAAGAUAAAAUUUAAAUGCAAAAGUUUAAAAUUUUGAUCUGUUCGAUCAUUAAAAUCUUACAUGAUCUGAGCU
rnacentral:rRNA from 1 species